CCGUCAAUUCAUUUGAGUUUUAGCCUUGCGGCCGUACUCCCCAGGCGGGGCACUUAAUGCGUUAGCUUCGGCACAGAUCGCGUUGAUAACGACCCACACCUAGUGCCCAACGUUUACGGCGUGGACUACCAGGGUAUCUAAUCCUGUUUGCUCCCCACGCUUUCGCUCCUCAGCGUCAGUACCGGCCCAGAGCGCCGCCUUCGCCGCUGGUGUUCCUCCUGAUAUCUGCGCAUUUCACCGCUACACCAGGAAUUCCACGCUCCCCUACCGGACUCUAGCCACAGCAGUCUUGGGUGGCGUCUCCAGGUUGAGCCUGGAGGUUUCACACCCAACUUACUGAGCCGCCUACGAGCUCUUUACGCCCAAUAAAUCCGGACAACGCUUGCCCCCUACGUGUUAC
rnacentral:misc_RNA from 1 species